rnacentral:rRNA from 1 species
GAUCCUGGCUCAGGAUGAACGCUAGCUACAGGCUUAACACAUGCAAGUCGAGGGGCAGCAUGGUCUUAGCUUGCUAAGACUGAUGGCGACCGGCGCACGGGUGAGUAACACGUAUCCAACCUGCCGUCUACUCUUGGACAGCCUUCUGAAAGGAAGAUUAAUACAAGAUGGCAUCAUGAGUCCGCAUGUUCAUAUGAUUAAAGGUAUUCCGAGG